rnacentral:rRNA from 1 species
UAAGACAUGCAAGUCGAGCGCUGAUUCCGGGGUAGCAAUAUUCCGGAGUUGGAGCGGCGCAAGGGUGCGUAACACGUGGGUAAUCUGCCAUGAAGUUUGGAAUAACUUGCUGAAAGGCGAGCUAAUACCGGAUGUGAAAAUUGGGAGGCCUCUCCUGGUUUUUAAAGUUGGGGACCGUAAGGCCUGACGCUUCAUGAUGAGCCCGCGGCCUAUCAGCUAGUUGGUGAGGUAACGGCUCACCAAGGCUAAGACGGGUAGCUGGUCUGAGAGGACGACCAGCCACACUGGAACUGAGACACGGUCCAGACACCUACGGGUGGCAGCAGUCGAGAAUUUUUCACAAUGGGCGCAAGCCUGAUGGAGCGACGCCGCGUGGGGGAUGAAUGGCUUCGGCCCGUAAACCCCUGUCAUUUGCGAUCAAACCUUGCUAUUUAAAAGAUGGCGAGCUGAUAGUAGCGAAAGAGGAAGGGACGGCUAACUCUGUGCCAGCAGCCGCGGUAAUACAGAGGUCCCAAGCGUUGUUCGGAUUCACUGGGCGUAAAGGGUGCGUAGGUGGCGAAGUAAGUCGGAUGUGAAAUCUCGGAGCUCAACUCCGAAACGGCAUUGGAAACUACUUUGCUCGAGGGUCGGAGGGGGGACUGGAAUUCUCGGUGUAGCAGUGAAAUGCGUAGAUAUCGAGAGGAACACCAGUGGCGAAGGCGAGUCCCUGGACGACUCCUGACACUGAGGCACGAAAGCUAGGGGAGCAAACAGGAUUAGAUACCCUGGUAGUCCUAGCUGUAAACGGUGCACGUUUGCUGUAAAAGGAAUCGACCCCUUUUGUGGCGUAGCCAACGCGUUAAACGUGCCGCCUGGGAAGUACGGUCGCAAGAUUAAAACUCAAAG